rnacentral:rRNA from 1 species
GGAAUUUUGGACAAUGGGGGCAACCCUGAUCCAGCAAUGCCGCGUGUGCGAAGAAGGCCUUCGGGUUGUAAAGCACUUUUGUCAGGGAAGAAAUCUUUUGGGCUAAUACCCCGGAAGGAUGACGGUACCUGAAGAAUAAGCACCGGCUAACUACGUGCCAGCAGCCGCGGUAAUACGUAGGGUGCAAGCGUUAAUCGGAAUUACUGGGCGUAAAGCGUGCGCAGGCGGUUCGCUAAGACAGUCGUGAAAUCCCCGGGCUUAACCUGGGAACUGCGAUUGUGACUGGCGAGCUAGAGUACGGCAGAGGGGGGUGGAAUUCCUGGUGUAGCAGUGAAAUGCGUAGAGAUCAGGAGGAACACCGAUGGCGAAGGCAGCCCCCUGGGCUAGUACUGACGCUCAUGCACGAAAGCGUGGGGAGCAAACAGGAUUAGAUACCCUGGUAGUCCACGCCCUAAACGAUGUCAAUUAGUUGUUGGUUCUUCAUUGAAUCAGUAACGAGGCUAACGCGUGAAAUUGACCGCCUGGGGAGUACGGUCGCAAGAUUAAAACUCAAAGGAAUUGACGG